rnacentral:lncRNA from 1 species
AAUUGAUUUAAGAUGGCGGACCGAUCAGCUGAGUGGCGUAUUUCAUCGAUGUGGAACGAUCUCAGUCGGAUUGGAAUGAGACAAAUCACAGACGAAAAUGAAUUGGAUGAAUUGAUUAUUGAUUAUUUCAAGGCAAGACCUAUUGAUUGUGAAGACAGUAGAUUCUAGUUUGGAGGAGGAGACACAUGAUGAACCAAUUACGACUACGACCGUGGCCGUGACACACCCACCCCACACACACCCACACCCCCCUGCUCAUGACCAUGAUCUGGAAUCUGGAACUUCAUGAAGAAGACGUCCUGGUUCCUGUUCAACCAAUUAAUUGGCAUAACAUCAUCAGAAGGUGCAAUUGCUGGCCCAGGACCUUCGCAGCCCCCCUCCUAUGCUCCCAGUGAAGCAGAUCCAGAGUCUCUGACUGCUGUGCUCUACAACAACAAAGUGAUGCUGACCAGUCCAGUAUUGCUGAAGGUAAUGCCUCUCUCAAUGGAAUUGAAUAAUAGACUAGGGCUACUACUAUUACAAUUUAUAUUGAUGCUAACACCUGCUUUAAAUUUCUUGAUUCAUUUACAAAGCAGAAAAUAAUCGAUUUUACAUACUUUUUAGCUUUAAUUAUUCGACUUGAAAAGAACCAUGGGAAAUGCUGCACCACACUAACUUGUAUUGUUGAAGGUGAUGCCUCUCAAUUAAAUUAAAUAUUAUAGCAUUAUAGUUCAGUGUGAUGCUGACUCUUGCUUUAAAUUUUAAAAUUCCUUUACAAA